AGCUGUGCAAAAAAAUCAAUAUCACUCUUCAAAUCAUUAAUUUGUGCAUAUGAGUUACCACAGGCAAAUCAAAAUGCCGUACUCACCGGCCUGACAGUUAUAACCAGCAUAACCAGGCUUGCAUUUACAAGUAUUGGGUGCCACACACUCCAUAUUUUUGCCACAUGUUUGUCUACAUCUUGCUGAAAGGCAAUGAAGAAAACAAAGGGAAUAAGGAAAAUAAAAGUCGCAUUUCACACAACUGUGUUUUGCCUAACAUAAUGCAAAAAUCACAGAGAAUCCAUUAUGCCACUGUCUGUAAAUGGGAGUCUAAGACACAUCAGAAAAAUAUUUCUAAGUGCAUCCAUACAACUAAAAGCCUGUAGGCUAUGCCAAUAUUAAUAAUAAAAGUGAAAAAUUCAAUACACCGUACUUUUCACUGAUUAUACAGUAACAAUGUACUUUAAAGUUAUAAAGACAUCUCAAGAUUCUUUUCUUCAAGGCAUUUAAGUUCACUUAUUUGUAAUACCUCUGCAAGUGAAGCCAUCUCCAUAAUAACCAUAAGGACAACGACCACACGUGAUGCUUCCAUCCUGACUUGGCUCACAGUGUACACCAGGAAAACAGGGUGAUACAGCAUGGCUCCCUGAAGAUGCAGUCAUCACAGUAUGUACUGAAGAACUCGCUUCCAUGUCAGCAAGGUGACCACUGAUGGUCCUGAGAGUGUGAGCAAUGUUUCCAGUAACAGCAGAUUAUUUGGGCAUGGACCACAAUAGUAAGAACCAAAAGUAUUGAAGCAAAAUACUCCAGGGAAGCAAGGACUGGAUACACAUUCAUCUACAUCCUCUUGACAAUG